CCUACGGGUGGCAGCAGUGGGGAAUAUUGCACAAUGGAGGCAACUCUGAUGCAGCGACGCCGCGUGCGUGAAGAAGUAAUUCGGUAUGUAAAGCUCUAUCAGCAGGGAAGAAAAUGACGGUACGUGAGUAAGAUGCCACGGCUCACUACGUGCCAGCAGCCGCGGUAAUACGUCGGGGGCAAGCGUUAUCCGGAUUUACUGGGUGUAAAGGGAGCGUAGACGGCAGUGCAAGUCUGGAGUGAAAGGCGGGGGCUCAACCCCCGGACUGCUCUGGAAACUGUGCGGCUGGAGUGCAGGAGAGGUAGGCGGAAUUCGUGGGGUAGCGGUGAAAUGCGUAGAUAUUAGGAGGAACACCAGUGGCGAAGGCGGCUUACUGUACUGUAACUGACGUUGAGGCUCGAAAGCGUGGGGAGCAAACAGGAUUAGAUACCCUUGUAGUC
rnacentral:rRNA from 1 species